rnacentral:rRNA from 1 species
ACCAGCUAAGGUCCCAAAAUAUAUGUUAAGUGGAAAAGGAUGUGGCGUUGCCCAGACAACUAGGAUGUUGGCUUAGAAGCAGCCAUCAUUUAAAGAGUGCGUAAUAGCUCACUAGUCGAGUGACACUGCGCCGAAAAUGUACCGGGGCUAAACAUAUUACCGAAGCUGUGGAUUGUCCUUUGGACAAUGGUAGGAGAGCGUUCUAAGGGCGUUGAAGCAUGAUCGUAAGGACAUGUGGAGCGCUUAGAAGUGAGAAUGC